rnacentral:rRNA from 1 species
CCCUACGGGAGGCAGCAGUGGGGAAUAUUGCACAAUGGGGGGAACCCUGAUGCAGCGACGCCGCGUGGGCGAGGAAGUAUUUCGGUAUGUAAAGCCCUAUCGGCAGGGAAGAAGAAAUGACGGUACCUGAAUAAGAAGCACCGGCUAAAUACGUGCCAGCAGCCGCGGUAAUACGUAGGUGGCAAGCGUUGUCCGGAAUUACUGGGUGUAAAGGGAGCGCAGGCGGGAAGCCAAGUCAGCUGUGAAAACUACGGGCUUAACUUGUAGACUGCAGUUGAAAAUGGUUUUCUUGAGUGAAGUAGAGG